AUUUCGGUUGGUGGACAGUGGCGCACGGGUGAGUAACGCGUGGGAACCUGCCCUUCGGUACGGAAUAACUCCGGGAAACUGGCGCUAAUACCGUAUACGACCCCUAGGGGGAAAGAUUUAUCGCCGAAGGAUGGGCCCGCGUCGGAUUAGCUUGUUGGUGAGGUAAUGGCUCACCAAGGCGACGAUCCGUAGCUGGUCUGAGAGGACGAUCAGCCACACUGGGACUGAGACACGGCCCAG
rnacentral:rRNA from 1 species